GGGGACUACCAAGAAGGGGAAGGUUCAUGAUUCAUCUAUUAAGCACAGACUCAGGCGUAUAAUCAAGAAUGGUAUGUCUUCGGAUUUCCAAAAAGCUCCAGGCCGUGCUACUGGUGCCGUUUUGCAGGGCGCCGUUCUUGACACUCCGUUGCCGGUGGAGUUCUUGAAUAAAGUGCAGAAGGCUCAGUCUGGAGGAGCGAUUCUGCAAAACUUUGUGAUUCACUCAUCUUCCGACGCAGCCCAAAUUAUGUCGGCAGUGGUCUCUAGAAAAAAGGAAAAUUGGGGAGAUAUGUUGGACGACGAGGGUGAUGAAAACGAGGACGCCUUCUCUUAGUUUUCGCUUUCUUUGUUUCGACUACCCAUGGUCCUUUGCGGGUGUUUUCACGUAGUUUUUUUUUGCUUUUUGACGGAUCCUUUGAGAUUCGCCUCUUUGUUAGCGUUUGUGCUUUCAAGGGUGUUUUAGUCCUUUUCUGUUUUUUUUCUCUCUUUUUUAAUAAAAUUUCUAUUUUAGCAGCUAAAACAUGAAUUAAAAGAAUUAUACUAAACUAACUAGAACAGAAAUCGAAACUAGAACUAUGAAAG
rnacentral:lncRNA from 1 species